ensembl:lncRNA
UCAAGGGCAGUGAAGGAGGGGUCCUGAUGGGACACUAUGGACAUAAAUGACUGCCUCUCUUAGGACAUGUGUCUGAUACUAUGGUUCCAUUGGAGCGUUCAUCACAAGCCCUAAGCUGUAUGUUAUCAACUCCAUGCAGCCAAUAGGACUGAGUACCCACGGUGUGCAGGAAGUGUACUAGCAGGCUGACAAAUAAGAGUCCCCGAUGAUGAGCUGGGAAAAUAAUCAUGUGGAAUUUGGAUCAGUUCUGUAAUAUGAGUAUAUGCCAGGUUCUGUGGGAGUGCAAAAGGGUAAGACCUUUUGAACGAGUCUUAAAAGGUUCCACCUCCAAAUACCAUCAUGGGAUGAGUUACAGCUUCCGCCUAUGAAUGUGAGGGAACACAAGCCUUCACUCCAUGGUCGCGUUGAUGACUAGUGGUGGCACGGUCAGCCCUAUGCUGGUGAAGGACUUAAGGCACCUUAGAAUAAAAGCCAAGGCACCAGAAACUAUGGAGAAAAAGGCAGUUGCAACCCCAGGAACCAGGGGUGGGCAAGUAUUGUCCAGUCCAGUUCAGUUCAGUCGCUCGGUCGUGUCCGACUCUUUGCUACCCCACGAAUCGCAGCACGCCAGGCCUCCCUGUCCAUCACCGUCUCCCGGAGUUCACUCAGACUCACGUCCAUCGAGUCGGUGAUGCCAUCCAGCCAUCUCAUCCUCUGUCAUCCCCUUCUCCUCCCGCCCCCAAUCCCUCCCAGCGUCAGUGUCUUUUCCAAUGAGUCACUCUUCGCAUGAGGUGGCCAAAGUACUGGAGUUUCAGCUUCAGCAUCAUUCCUUCCAAAGAAAUCUCAGGGCUGAUCUCCUUCAGAAUGGACUGGUUGGAUCUCCUUGCAGUCCAAGGGACUCUCAAGAGUCUUCUCCAACACCACAGUUCAAAAGCAUCAAUUCUUCAGCGCUCAGCCUCCUUCACAGUCCAACUCACAUCCGUAUUGUUAUUAAAUGCUAAACUUGGUUCAUUCUGACAUCUUAGGGGCUAAAGAAAUGUGAUGGCUCCCUCUUCAGAUGAUAAAGAAGAGUUUUUCCCCAUGAAAAUUAA